rnacentral:lncRNA from 1 species
CCCACAAACCGUCGUCGUCUACUCCCUCGCCCUGCAACGCCGCAGCCGGCUCCCUCGGCCUGCUUCGCCACCGCCGCCAACUGCUCCGCGGCCGACCAGCGGAUUGGCUUCGAGAUCCUGGUCUUCAAGAUUGGGAAGCGGAACCGGCGCCUCGACGCCGCAGCCGCCCGCGUUCUGCCAGACCGCGGCUCCCUCGGCCUGCUUCGCCACCGCCGCCGACUGCGCCGCGGCCUACCAGCGGCUUGGCUUCGAGAUCCAGGUCUUCAAGAUCGGGAAGCGGAACCGGCGCCUCGUCCCCGGUCUCUCCGAGUGCCGCCUCCUCGACCAAGCCCACAGCCGGCCUAGAAAAGUACCAGGUAGGUCUCCUUCCUUUCCGAUUCAUCCGAUUCAUUCCUUUAAUUUGUCUUCUUCAUUCAGUUCCAAUUCCAAAUUCAUGUGAUUUUGUUUAUCUUUUCCCAGUCAAAUCAUUC